AGAGAGGGGAUGCAAAAUUAAGUGUGUUAGCUUGGGUGGUGCGCACGACCAAUCCCCAAUCAACACAUGUCACCAUUUAAUAGUGGUUGUUAUGGGGUGCUUGAAUCUAGGGGGGAGACCCCUGUCUCACCUUCAUUCAGAGUGGCAGUUCAGUUCUUAUGUGCUAUGGUGCGAUGAGGCGGCUCCUUUCAUCGUAGACAUGCAGUGGGUGUUUUUAUCAUGAGAAGAGGUAUUGGGGUGUUUUCUUCAGGUGACAGCCUAUCAUCUGAGGGAAAGGAGUCAAUUUAUCGAUUCCAGCUUGGCUUGAGAGG
rnacentral:lncRNA from 1 species